UACCGCGAGAACAGGAGUGAACGUGGCCUCGGGGCGGGGACAAGAGCAGCCGGGGGCGGAGCUGAGCUGUUUUCUGCCUCCCAGGGGCGGCCUCUUGACUGCUCCUCUGGGGCUGGCGCUGGCCGCAUCUGGCGCUUCCUCCGACCGUGGUCCUGGGGAUUGAGCCUGGGGCCCUCGCACUGGGCGGCACGCCCCCUCCUUUAGUAUUUCAGUUUGUGACAGGGUCUCCCUAAGUCGCCCAGGCGGGGUUCGAAUUCGGGAGCCUCCUGCCUCGACCUCCCAGAGCGGCGGGAUGACAGGUGUGCGCCUGCGCGCCCGGCUCGCGGGCCUUUGCAGCCGCCGAGCUCCGGUUUGCACAGCCCCUUAGCCUUUGUCCUUAGGUCCUGGCACCUUUGUCCCUAGCGGUUCACCGACUCGGACAUUUCAGCCCUCCGUGGGGCUGACAGUUCACUGUACCUUGAGUCUUGCAGGAGAUUUGGACUUGGACUUCUCAGCAAGCUGGAUCAGUUGAGACUUGGAGACUCUGAGAUGGACUAAAUACAUUCUGCAUUGUGAGAUGGGCAGGAGCUUUGGUGGGCUAGGAGCAGAAUGCUAUAGUCUGGACCUGGCAUAUCUGCCCGGAGCCCAUGUGUUAAAUUCUUAGCCUACAGCCUUGUGCUGUUGAAAACUUCAGGCCCUAACGGAGGCUUUCGUUUACUGGGGCUGCCUUGAAGGUGACAGAGGGACCCAGCCCCUUCUCUUUUUCCUUGUUUGGUUCUGUCAGGGCCAGUCAGCAUGAAAUCAAGAGAAGAGCAGUUGUGGGAUAUGAAGAUGAUCAAUACUGGCAGACGUUAUUGUAAGAAACAGCACUGAGUGUGUGCUGACAAAAGGUUUCAUGCCAAGAUGAGUUCGUACCUGUUGAAUAGUACAAAGUGCUGUCCCUGCUCCACCUUGGAGGUCAGACUGUGUUUGCAGACUUGGUACCCUGCUUGUGAGGAAAGACAAUGUGGAAAACUGUGGAAGAGACAAGACUCCACAAAAUUGACCUUGGUCAUCUGGUCUCAGAAGAGGAUGAAGAUGGUCAAGUAUGGCUUUAAGAGCAGCAAUAUAAACAAGAGCACAGCUCUUUCCCAAAAGCAAACACUAUGCCUUAUCGGCCCAGUGACCUAUGGGUGAGAAUGCCCUGUGGAACCCUAAGAGACCAGUAGAAAAAGUCCAGCACACUAACUGGAACAAAACAUCAGAGUACAGGUGCACUGAAUAAAACCUGUUUCCUGAGUGCAAUCCUGUAACCCAAGCGUCUCAGGCAGAAAGCCAGCUUGACUUUGGAGACUUGGAAGGAAAACAAACUUGAGCAUUUCAGAAUUCUGCCCUUGGGAAGACGAAUGGGAAGCAUGCAACCAAGGGAAGGCAAACUGUGUAAUGUGAAGAGUACCCAUCGCUCCCAGGAGCACUAAGGGCAAGUGGAAUGGCAGCAUUCAAGGAAAAGGUCUGAGGGCUGGGGAUGUAGCUCAGUGGCACUAUGCCUGCCUGGCAAGCACAAGAUCAUGAGUUCAAUCCAUGGUACCCUCCCCGCAAAACGGUCUGACAGCAUCAGAAUUCCUCACCAUUCUGUUUAGUGAAGGUGAUUUUCUCCUAAAGCCACCCAGUAAAGACUGGAAGAGGCAGAUGCUUUGUUGGAUGUGAAGAUAGCAAACCAAGACUUCAAGAAACAUGAAAACCGAGGAAAAAGAACACGACAGAGGAACACAAUAAUAUUCCAGUAACAGGUUAUAAAGAAAAAGAGAUCAGGAAAUGUUUGACAAAGAAUACAAAACAAUUAAGGAAGGUGAGAGAGACAGAUAGGCAGCUCAAAAAAUUAGAAAAAUAAUACAUGAACUAAAAGGGAAGACAUUCAACAAAGAAUAAAAUAACUGAAAUGAAAAACACAUUACAGGAUAUCAACAGCAAACAAAAGAAGUAACUUUGACCUUAAAGACAAUUUGAAAAUGAAGAAAAAGUAAAAAUUAAUGAAAAGGAAUAAAGAAAACCUAUGUAAUGUAUGAGACAGUAUAAGAGCUAACAUUAGUAUACUGAAAGUGUAACAUGAGACAGAGAAAGUUUAAAGAGAUGCCAGCAAAAGUCUAGCCUACUCUGCCGAGUGAUACGGACCAUACAGGGAUGUGAAGUUAAGAAGUUUACACCUAAGAGUUCAACAGAUACAUUUUAACCAGACUUCAAAAAUCAAAGUCAAAGAGCAUUUUGGAAGUUGCAAGACAAAAGAGGAAUAACACACACAAGGGGACAUUUAGAAGGCUAUUAAGGCCUUUCUCUGCAGUAACACUGCAGGCCAGGACACAGUGGGACGAUAUAGCUGUAUAAGUACUUUAUUGGCAAAAAUGAAGGAGAGACUAGAACUUUCUUGGACAAAGGAUGACGGAGUUAAUCAGAAGUAGAGCUGAUGUACAAGAAAUGAUAAAGGGAGUGACUCAAGCGUAAAGGAAAGGACAGUCACAUGAAAAUAUGUAAAAUUAUAAAAACCAUAGGGCACAGGUAAAUACACAGUCAUAAUCAGAUAAUUCUAAUUGUAAUGGUAGUAUAUAGUUACCUCUAAAUCUAUUAGAACAGUUAAAGCACAAAGAUAUUCAAAAUAGCUGUAACUGUUGGGCGUAGUAGCGCACGCUGAUAAUCUGAGCACUUGGGAGGCUGAGGCAGGAGGAACACUGCACAUUCUAGGCCAACCUAGGCUAUGUAGUGAGUUUAAGGCCAGCCUGAACUGUGAAGCAAGACCCUGUCUCAAAACAACCUUCCCAAUCCCCCAAAAUCCCAUAAAACUAUAGCUGCAAAAAUUUCAUAAUAGAUAUACAUGAUAUAAAUUGUGACAUCUAAAAGGUAAAAUGCAAGGGAAGAGCAUGUUUUUGUAUGCAACUGAAGUCACUAUCAGCUUAAAAUAAGAUAAUUAAAACUUUUAUAUAAGGGAGGGCGGGGACAAGGGGAAAAAAUGAGAACCAA